UCAGUUAUUUUAUUAACAUGUAAACAAAAAAGGAGCAUAACAAAUGUGUUCCCAUAUGCAAAAACGGCUACAAGCAUAUCCAACAUUUCCACUGUUACAACAUAUAUUCAAGUUUUGCCCAACGGUAUCUCAAGUGCAAAUGAUAGCGCAUAAAACAAUGCGGAGUCAUUCCUCAUCAGCCACUUGCACUAAAGCUGAAGAAGUGAGCAAACAUAACAUACAAUUUCCAAAAGCUCAUCCCUUUCGUCC
rnacentral:misc_RNA from 1 species